rnacentral:misc_RNA from 1 species
AACUUUCAGCAAUGGAUCACUUGGCUCUCGCAUCGAUGAAGAACGCGGCGAAAUGCGAUAAGUAAUGUGAAUUGCAGAUUUCAGUGAAUCAUCGAAUCUUUGAACGCACCUUGCGCUCCUCGGCCUUCCGAGGAGCAUGCCUGUUUGAGUGCCCAGAAAUUCACUCGACGUAACGACUUGUUUGUUGCGUCGGAGCGUGGGGGUCUUUGCCUUGCCGUCACCGGCAAGGCUCCCUUCAAAUGCGUUAGCUGGCCCUUUGUAGGUCCGCCCACUGGCUUGAUAUUAAAACGUCGAUGCCGCCGGGUGACUCUGCUUUUAAAGGUCGCUUACAGCCGUCCUCUUUCUGGACAACAUCUUCUGAGCUCGGGCCUCAAAUCAGGUAGGAUUACCCGCUGAACUUAAGCAUAUCAAUAAGCGGAGGCU